AAUAAAUACAGUUUUAUAAUAUUUAUGUCUAACGUUUGACCGUUCGUUUUAUUUGAAAAAUUUUCAUGAUUAGUAAUUUUAUUAUUAUUUGAUGAUAAAACAUGAAUACUACUUUAUGCAUGACUAUUUUUUUCACAAAUUUUUAAAAUAAAACGGAUGGUUAAACGUUAGAUACGAAUAUCCAUAACUGUACUUAUU
rfam:Oryza meridionalis cultivar OR44 (W2112) chromosome 12, whole genome shotgun sequence.